AACGAAGGGGGCUAGCGUUGUUCGGAUUUACUGGGCGUAAAGCGCGUGUAGGCGGGUCGCUAAGUUGGGGGUGAAAUCCCGAGGCUCAACCUCGGAACUGCCUUCAAAACUGGCGACCUGGAGCAAGAUAGAGGCGAGUGGAAUUGCGAGUGUAGAGGUGAAAUUCGUAGAUAUUCGCAGGAACACCAGUGGCGAAGGCGACUCGCUGGAUCUUUGCUGACGCUGAGACGCGAAAGCGUGGGGAGCACACAGG
rnacentral:rRNA from 1 species